rnacentral:lncRNA from 1 species
AUGAAGAAAAAUGUGAAGACCGAAAGACAUUCAGAAAAGAGCAGACAAAAGAGAAGUGAUAGUGAACAAGUGCUAGAAAUACAAGACAGAAACAAGAUUUGGGAAAAAUUUGGGAUAGAUGGAAUCUAUCAUUUGAUAAAUAAUGGACAGCAUUUAGAAAAAGCCUGAGAAAUGACAGCAUUAUUUGAAAAUGGAAAGCAGGAAUCAAGGAAGAAAGAAAAUAGACUCGCAGAAUACCAGUUCUCCUUCUGGUUCUAGCAACCCAGUGGGUGACUGUGGGUAAGUCAUUCCACUUCUUGGAACCUUAGUUCCCUUAUUUAUAAAAUGAAUAAUUUAGAUG